CAACUGGGCAGAGGGAUCCUCCUCCUGUCAUCACUGGAUUUUGUAGUCAGUGGGCUGCCUAAGUUGACACAAGCCACAUGGAAGGGUGCUCAGGAAAGGCCAUGGGAUCCACACAGAUGCCUGGCUGAAAAUGCAGCUGCUGAAAUAUUGUAGAUCCUUGAUCCUGGACCAAGGGAGCUGCUCUGACAGUCCUUGAGGAGCUGAGCCUGCUGGGAGGUGAAAUUGCAAUAUAAAGGAACUGGUAGUUGCAAAAGAAAAAAAGAAAAAGGAGAUUACUACCAGAACACCUAUUGAAGAAAGGCUGCUACAGGGAUAUUGGCAGCUUUGGAAAAACAUUCCCAGUUGUGCUUUUAAUAAUAUUGGCUGAUAGAAUGGGAACAUGCACUCUCCUGAGUUGUAAUAACACUUAGGAAUGUACUAGCCCACAAAUCCACUGUUGUAAAACUCUUGUUUUCACAUUUUCCUAAUAAAAUGUCAUGCCAUCGUAAA